rnacentral:rRNA from 1 species
CCUACGGGAGGCAGCAGUGAGGAAUAUUGGUCAAUGGACGAGAGUCUGAACCAGCCAAGUAGCGUGAAGGAUGACUGCCCUAUGGGUUGUAAACUUCUUUUAUAAAGGAAUAAAACGAGGCACGUGUGCCUUUUUGCAUGUACUUUAUGAAUAAGGAUCGGCUAACUCCGUGCCAGCAGCCGCGGUAAUACGGAGGAUCCGAGCGUUAUCCGGAUUUAUUGGGUUUAAAGGGAGCGUAGAUGGGUUGUUAAGUCAGUUGUGAAAGUUUGCGGCUCAACCGGAAAAUUGCAAUUGAUACUGGCAGUCGUGAGUACAGUUGAGGUAGGCGGAAUUCGUGGUGUAGCGGUGAAAUGCUUAGAGAUCACGAAGAACCCCGAUGGCGAAGGCAGCUUACUAAACUGUGACUGACAUUGAUGCUCGAAAGUGUGGGUAUCAAACAGGAUUAGAUACCCUAGUAGUC